rnacentral:rRNA from 1 species
UACGUAGGGGGCAAGCGUUGUCCGGAUUUAUUGGGCGUAAAGAGCGUGUAGGCGGCCAGACAGGUCUGCUGUGAAAACUCGAGGCUCAACCUCGAGACGCCGGUGGAAACCGUUUGGCUAGAGUCCGGAAGAGGAGAGUGGAAUUCCUGGUGUAGCGGUGAAAUGCGCAGAUAUCAGGAAGAACACCCGUGGCGAAGGCGGUUCUCUGGGACGGUACUGACGCUGAGACGCGAAAGCGUGGGGAGCGAACAGG